GCACUAGUAGCUCAGCAUUUCAGAGCAUCGGUCUUGUAAACCGAACGCCGAGGGUUAAAAUCCCUCCUACUGCU
rnacentral:tRNA from 2 species